CUUUUACUACCAACUGAUAAAUUAAAACAAUCUUUACCAUUCAGUGAUAACAAGCACUUUUUUUACAUUUUAAUAUUUUAUGAUGUAUUUAAAUGAGUAGUUAUUGUUGCAAACUCCAUUAGAAAUUUGAAUUGAGAUCAGUUUUGGAAUAAGGGAAAGGGGGAUGUGAAAAAAAAAUUGGGGGGGGGGGGUUCAAUUUUUCUCAUUUCAGAUUUCAUAAAUAAAAAGAAAAUUUCUUCAAACAUUUUUUUGAGAGGAUUGAUAUUCAACAGCAUAGUGAAUUGCUCAAAGGCAAAACAAAAAUUUUAAGUUCAUUAGACCACAUUCAUUCUGUGUCAGAAACCUAUGCUGUGUCAACUAUUUAAUCACAAUCCAAAUUUAGAGCUGAAUCCAGCUUGAAUGUUGUGUCCAUACUUGCCCCAACCGUUCAGGGUUCAACCUCUGCGGUCUUAUAAAGCUGCGCCCUGCGGAGCAUCUGGUUAUCAUUA
rnacentral:lncRNA from 1 species